CAGCAGUAUAAUCCUGUAUAUAGAAGUAUAUCAGCAUUAUAAUCCGUCUUCCCAUCUAUCAACCCAGAUAACUACUGUGGCAUGGUGUCCUGCUUCACAGUUAAGAACCCCAAAGAAAGAUAAGAAGAAGAAAGACAAUGUUGGAACGGAGGGAACAGCAGAUUUGAUUGCUUUGGGUACAACGGCUGGUACAGUUCUUCUGUACAGUGUUACAAUGGGCGACGUGGUCACCAAGCUUGAUGUAUCUCUAUCCACAAUUCGAAUCCAGUCAAUUUCUUGGAGCAAUUCGAGCAAAACUUUAUUCGUCGGAGCAGAGGACGGAAUGGUUUCCAUAUUCUCUGUUCUAGAGUUAGAAUUGUUAGCCAGGUUUAAAGCUGGAAAGGAGCCUGUAUAUUCUCUUGCUGUGACUAAGGACGAUAA